AUUGAACGCUGGCGGAAUGCUUUACACAUGCAAGUCGAACGGCAGCACGGGGGCAACCCUGGUGGCGAGUGGCGAACGGGUGAGUAAUACAUCGGAACGUGCCCGGUCGUGGGGGAUAACGUAGCGAAAGUUACGCUAAUACCGCAUACGAUCUGAGGAUGGAAGCGGGGGACCUUCGGGCCUCGCGCGAUCGGAGCGGCCGAUGUCAGAUUAGGUAGUUGGUGGGGUAAAGGCCUACCAAGCCGACGAUCUGUAGCUGGUCUGAGAGGACGACCAGCCACACUGGGACUGAGACACGGCCCAGACUCCUACGGGAGGCAGCAGUGGGGAAUUUUGGACAAUGGGCGCAAGCCUGAUCCAGCCAUUCCGCGUGCAGGACGAAGGCCUUCGGGUUGUAAACUGCUUUUGUAUGGAACGAAAAGGCUCUGGCUAAUACCUGGGGCUCAUGACGGUACCGUAAGAAUAAGCACCGGCUAACUACGUG
rnacentral:rRNA from 1 species